rnacentral:rRNA from 1 species
UCCUACGGGGGGCAGCAGUGGGGAAUAUUGGGCAAUGGGCGCAAGCCUGACCCAGCAACGCCGCGUGAAGGAAGAAGGCUUUCGGGUUGUAAACUUCUUUUGACAGGGAAGAGCAGAAGACGGUACCUGUCGAAUAAGCCACGGCUAACUACGUGCCAGCAGCCGCGGUAAUACGUAGGUGGCAAGCGUUGUCCGGAUUUACUGGGUGUAAAGGGCGUGUAGCCGGGCUGACAAGUCAGAUGUGAAAUCCGGGGGCUCAACCCCCGGGACUGCUCUUGGAACUGCGUGGCUGGAGUGCAGGAGGG